rnacentral:rRNA from 1 species
GACGAACGCUGGCGGCGUGCUUAACACAUGCAAGUCGAACCGCAAGGCCCUGCUUUUGUGGGGUGCUCGAGUGGCGAACGGGUGAGUAACACGUGAGUAACCUGCCCUUGACUUUGGGAUAACUUCAGGAAACUGGGGCUAAUACCGGAUAGGAGCUCCUGCUGCAUGGUGGGGGUUGGAAAGUUUCGGCGGUUGGGGAUGGACUCGCGGCUUAUCAGCUUGUUGGUGGGGUAGUGGCUUACCAAGGCUUUGACGGGUAGCCGGCCUGAGAGGGUGACCGGCCACAUUGGGACUGAGAUACGGCCCAGACUCCUACGGGAGGCAGCAGUGGGGAAUAUUGCACAAUGGGCGGAAGCCUGAUGCAGCAACGCCGCGUGCGGGAUGACGGCCUUCGGGUUGUAAACCGCUUUCGCCUGUGACGAAGCGUGAGUGACGGUAAUGGGUAAAGAAGCACCGGCUAACUACGUG